UACGGGAGGCAGCAGUGGGGAAUAUUGCACAAUGGGCGAAAGCCUGAUGCAGCUAUGCCGCGUGUAUGAAGAAGGCCUUAGGGUUGUAAAGUACUUUCAUCGGGGAGGAAAAAACAAAACUAAUAAUUUUAUUUCUUGACGUUACCCGAAAAAGAAGCACCGGCUAACUCCGUGCCAGCAGCCGCGGUAAUACGGAGGGUGCUAGCGUUAAUCAGAAUUACUGGGCGUAAAGAGCACGUAGGUGGUUUUUUUAAGUCAGAUGUGAAAUCCCUGGGCUUAACCUAGGAACUGCAUUUUGAAACUGAAAUACUAGAGUAUCGUAGAGGGAGGUAGAAUUCUAGGUGUAGCGGUGAAAUGCGUAGAUAUCUGGAGGAAUACCUGUGGCGAAAGCGGCCUCCUAAACGAAUACUGACACUGAGGUGCGAAAGCGUGGGGAGCAAACAGGGAUUAGAUCC
rnacentral:rRNA from 1 species